AAACAUGGUCUGGUGAAAUUUAUAUUAGAUCUAGCCUGCUCAAUGAAUUAUUAAUUUAAAUAGCCGCAGUAUACUGACUGUGCGAAGGUAGCAUAAUCAUUUGUCUUUUAAUUGAAGGCUUGUAUGAAUGGUUGGAUGAAGGGGUAACUUUCUUUAUAUAAUUAUAAUCUAAUUUAACUUUUGUGUUAAAAGGCUUAAAUAUUUAAAUGGGACGAGAAGACCCUAUAGAAUUUUAUUUUUUAUUAAUAAUUUAAUUUUUUGGUUAAUUUAUUAUUUAUUAUGUUGAAAAUUUUGUUGGGGUGACAGUAAGAUUUUUUUAACUCUUAUAAUAUAUUAUUUACAAAUUAGUAUUUUACAGAUCCUUUAUUAAGGAUAACUAGAUUAAAUUACYUUAGGGAUAACAGCGUAAUUUUAUUGGAGAGUUCAUAUUGAUAAUGAAGUUUGCGACCUCGAUGUUGGAUUAAAAUUAGAGUUAAGUGCAGAAGCUAA
rnacentral:rRNA from 1 species